ACAGAGUUGACUUCAGGCAAGUAGACGGUCGUGUCGGAAGGGUUUUUGUUUCAGAAAGGAGGCCAGCGACGAACAGCAUGUCUCAGAGAUCGGUACUGGAUGCAUUGUUGUUCGUGGUUAAUAUCAAUGAUUUGGUUG